GACACCCAAGUGUAGUUUUAUAAGCCUCCAAUGAGAAGUGAGAGCCGAAAGAAUGGCGGCCAGUGAACUAUUGUUUACAGUCUUUGGUCAGAAACGUAAUAUUUGUGAGGCGAGCAAAGCGUUUUGGAUGAAAAGGAUGAAAUAUUUGUUUUGGAAAAUAUUACCCCAGUGAAGAAAGGAAAGAGUUUAAAGGCGGGAGCGAGGCAGCAAACAGCGCGAUGGGUCUUGGCUGGACUGCAAGGUAGUGAGACGAAUCCUAAACGAACUUAAAGGGAACUUCAAUUUUAGGACUCCAAUUAAGGAUUCUACUCGCUUAGCAUAGUACAAUUAUGAAAAUAUCUGAUGUCCUGAGAGAUGGCACAAAGAUUGGCACUGGCUAUGGAUCUCUGUUGAAUCAAAUUAAAACAAGAGUAGAGCAUGCUAAUCAUGGCUGCUCACUGUCAAGACGCAGGAAACAGUACAUGACCUCAAAUUCACCAGUGGAACACAUUGCUCCAGGACCUGCUGACCAGUACGGUUGUGUGAGAUGGCAGCCUGAGUGUCCUGUAGAAGAAACUGAGGAGAGUCUCAAAGAUAAACAAAAAGAAAUGAAAGACCUCUAUGGUACUGAGGGACCAGCUGGAGCAGAGAGAAGACAUCUCAGCCAGUUAAUGGAAGCGACAUACUAUCUCCAACGGAAAUCAAUCAAUGCCUGUCCAUCACCAUCCUUUGCCGAGUUGAAAAAUGACUGGUCAUACCUUUUUACACCAAAAUAACUUUAUAGCCACUUUAAAUCACUCAAAACAUUAGCAUUCUGGAAAAACUUGAGAACUCCUUGGAAGAGAAGGGAAAGAUGAUCAUUCAAUUCUUCCAACAAAAGCCAGCAGGAUGUAAUGCAAAUGAGAUCUCAUGAAUAAUAAUCAUCAUACUUAUGAAGUUUGAUGAUAGUGGAGCAUCCUGUUUCAUCCCAUGCGUGAUCCUUCUACUUCUAUCUCAUUUCAAAGAGAAACCUGAAGCACUCGUUCUUCAGGCUGAUGUAUCGGCAACAGUAGCUGAUGUUUUUCUCUUCCAGACUCUCCAAGACUGAUCGUCCUCGGUGAAAUCCUCACUGCAACUCUGGAUGCUGAGUAUUGAAGGUCAGGUGGUUGUGAAUCCACACACCAACCUUGUGGCUGGAUUUGCAGCUUUUUUUGCAUCUUACUACAACUUCAACCUGGUUUACCAGGAGGAGGCAUCCUCCACACUUGAAUUUGUUCAAAGAGAAUCAAAACAGUGGCUGCAUUUGGAAUUAUUUUUGUUGGUGAAAAAACAGGAAAUAUGCUGUCUAAAAUAUGUUUUGUUGGAAUCAACCCUCCCACUGGCACCAAGACAGCCACAACAAAGGUUGGAGGCAAAAAAAAGUGGAAAAGCCUCUGAGAAGAGAAACAACACAGUCAACCCUCAUGUGUUCUCUUCUCAGGAAACUAAUGGGCUUUGAAGGGUUACACAUGUAAGUUCUUGUUCAUGUAUUAAGACCAAAACAUGUUUUAAAUAGGCCAGUUCUGUGAACAGACACUUGUGUUUCUAGACCUACAAGUUAUGUUAUGUUCCAAAACAGAUUCAACAAGAUCUUAAAUGUAACACAAACCUUGUUUAGAUGUUUUAUAGAUGCCAUUGUUUUAGACAGAAUAUUCAGGAUUGAGUGGAAGAUUUGCUGAAACAGCAUUUGUUUGAUUGUUUGAACUUUGCUGUCAGUUUUAGUAAAUGUUGUUCUUGAAGCA